AGAAUUUGAUCUGGUUCAGAUUGAACGCUGGCGGCAGGCCUAACACAUGCAAGUCGAACGGUAACAGGAGAAGCUUGCUCUUGCUGACGAGUGGCGGACGGGUGAGUAAUGUCUGGGAAACUGCCUGAUGAGGGGGAUAACUACUGGAAACGGUAGCUAAUACCGCAUAACGUCGCAAGACCAAAGAGGGGGACCUUCGGGCCUCUUGCCAUCGGAUGUGCCCAGAUGGGAUUAGCUUGUUGUGGGGUAACGGCUCACCAAGGCGACGAUCCCUAGCUGGUCUGAGAGGAUGACCAGCCACACUGGAACUGAGACACGGUCCAGACUCCUACGGGAGGCAGCAGUGGGGAAUAUUGCACAAUGGGCGCAAGCCUGAUGCAGCCAUGCCCGCGUGUAUGAAGAGGGCCUUCGGGUUGUAAAGUACUUUCAGCGGGGAGGAAGGGAGUAAAGUUAAUACCUUUGCUCAUUGACGUUACCCGCAGAAGAAGCACCGGCUAACUCCGUGCCAGCCGCGGC
rnacentral:rRNA from 1 species